CGUGCGGUCCCCCGCGGCGACCUCUCCACUCGCCGUCGCCGUCCGUCGGGGAGGGAGCGUGCGUGCGGUCCCCCGCGGCGACCUCUCCACUCGCCGUCGCCGUCCUCGGCCACUCGCCGUCCCGACCUCUCCACUCGCCUCCUCUGGCCAGCCAACCAUAGUGGCAUCGUUCCUCUGACACCGGUCGGCGCUUCGACUUCGACUCCUACAACCGGCACCUCGACUUGUCAACAUCCUCCGUCGCCAAAUCUUAACCACUACGAGUUCAUCCGGCCAUCGUCGUGAACCUCCAAGCAGAUAUGCCACGCCCUUCAUGUCAUCAGGCCAACGACCUCACCCUGGGAGUCCACUUCUUCACGGUCACGACAUCUGCCUUGAAAAAUUAUCUGGAGUGAGUUCCAGAGACGAACGGGGAACUGGACUUUGAGCUGGAGCGGUCAUGUGUUCUUGCACCUGGGGAUUAAAAGCCAAUAUACAAUUUGUUCAUUUUCUUUUAGAGGUAUGUAACAUUGAUUCGUACGAUUAGUUGGUACUUAAGAACAUGGAUACCCACACUUUCCAGGAUGGCUCAAGCUGUUCUGAUAGUUGAUAUAGAUUUAAAUGACUAGGAGAACCUAAGUGGCUCAUUCAUACGCCACCAUUUCCAAUAUAUAUGGGGCAGUUCUUAAACGUGCAAAUGUUCAAGAAAUGAGUGCUCUCAUUUGUCAUGCCAUGGAAGUAUGGUUUGAAGUUUCCUUACUGCAAAGAUUUUUCUUCAACAUCUAUGAGCUGGCUAGCAAAAUUAUUGUAACUACAAUUCACAUCAGAUAUAAGGCGACAAAUAGGGCAUCAUCUAGGUCCAUACAUCUUAAUAUCAUUUUCACUGACGGUUGCUUUGCUAUCAUAGUCAUUGUUUAUGACAGAAUGUAUAAACCACAUGGAGCUUGUGACAUCGGAUGAAGCUAGCGCACGGCGGCAUACAACAGGAGCUAUUAGAGCUGGUUGUUACACGGGCAUGAUGUAGUGCCCAGGAUGCUCUUCGGAUGGCUCCCAGGAUGGGAUUGAACCCAGUUGAGGUCCUUGGGAAAUCAGGCCCUCCUGUUUCCAAGAUCAUAGGCUUUCACAAAGACAAGUAUACCAAGGAUGCCAUGGAGAAAGAUCNCCUAAAAGAACAAGGUCAUAAUGUUGUACCGAGGGCAUAAAGUUGUAUCCAGGAUGGGCUUGCACCUGGUUGAGGUCCAUCGGAAAUAGGACCAUCCUGCUUGCAAGAUCAUGGACUUCCACAAAGACAAGUAUAACAAGGAUGUCAAGUAGAAAGAGCACGUAAAAACCAAGGGAAGGGAGGAGUAAAUGAGAUGGUGGGAUUGACUCUAACCUGUCAAUCUGCUGGUUUUGAUGGCUGUAGUAUGUGUUGUUCAGUUGCAACAUAAGACAUGGUUGUGCAUGUUUUGAUCCUUGUUGUGGAAUCGAAACAACUCCUUGUAUAGUUUAUUUGAUUAUUACUGCCAGUAUUCUGCAUGUGAGCCAUGGUGUUGAUUUCAAGUGGAAGAACCGCUGUCCGUUGUUUUCAGGGUCCAAGAAGUAUGUUUUCUUGUAUUUAGUUUUUGUUUUGACCUUGUGAAACUUGCUACCUAUGGAUGAAACUGUGUAAUAUUGAUGAAACUAUGUAUAUGUACGGAUGAAACUUGCUACUAUUGGUAACAUGGUUGGAUACAUAUGUGUUCAUG
rnacentral:rRNA from 1 species